rnacentral:rRNA from 1 species
GACGAACGCUGGCGGCGUGCUUAACACAUGCAAGUCGAACGGAAAGGCCCUGCUUUUGUGGGGUGCUCGAGUGGCGAACGGGUGAGUAACACGUGAGUAACCUGCCCUUGACUUUGGGAUAACUUCAGGAAACUGGGGCUAAUACCGGAUAGGAGCUCCUGCUGCAUGGUGGGGGUUGGAAAGUUUCGGCGGUUGGGGAUGGACUCGCGGCUUAUCAGCUUGUUGGUGGGGUAGUGGCUUACCAAGGCUUUGACGGGUAGCCGGCCUGAGAGGGUGACCGGCCACAUUGGGACUGAGGUACGGCCCAGACUCCUACGGGAGGCAGCAGUGGGGAAUAUUGCACAAUGGGUGGAAGCCUGAUGCAGCAACGCCGCGUGCGGGAUGACGGCCUUCGGGUUGUAAACCGCUUUCGCCUGUGACGAAGCGUGAGUGACGGUAAUGGGUAAAGAAGCACCGGCUAACUACGUG